UACUGUACAGUAUGCAACAAUAUUCAUCUGAUCUUGGAUUUGAUAGACUAUAGUGAUCUUAUAGAACGCAACAGUAAUAUACUUUUUCUUGAGUUUUAUAAGGCUUUUGAUACGAUAGAACAUAAUUUUAGUUUUAAUGUUUAGAAUUAUUUGGUUUUGGUCAGUGUUUUCAGAAUGUUAUUAAAAUUAUUUAUAAUGGUUCUAAUAGUUCAGUUAAGUUACAUAGUGGGACUUCUCCAAGAUUUGAUAUUGGUAGAGGUUAGGCAGUGGAAUGGAUUCCAGGGCAAACUCGUUCUUGUUGGAGGAUCCUUGUGACUCCUCGCCCAAUAUAACAGGUAAACUCAUGCACUGAAAUUAUGCGCUUCCAAAUUGAAGCGACACGCAUUUGAAUAAUUCAAAAUACACACGAGGGAACGUCUCCAAACCAUGUCUAAAUAUCACAACAUGAAAGCUGUGCGUACCUUAUCUUUAUUUGCCUGUACAAUGUACCCCGGUGAUCUUUAAUGUACUCUUGUGUGCAUCGUAUAAGAUUUUUAUUAUUGGAAUAUAAAGAAAAGAAAAAAACACAAUGAGGUCGAAUUGAUCAGCAGCGUGAGCCGACUCGCCGGUAAACACACUCUCCAGCGGUGUCUGGAGUUCACGAAUAACUCUCUGCCCUGAAGGACAGGUUUGCAGGAGCCCGCAGUGCUUGACGAGCAGAGAGCGGAACCACACCGAGCUCAGCGACAGACCGCGCAAGGGGCAGCCAGGGCUGUCGGCAGUUUCUGCAGAUCUGCUCUCAGCCAGAGAGGAGGGAGACGCAGUCGCUCUCCUGUGUCGGCUGGAGGAAGCGGAGCUGUGGAGAGAGGGAACGGAGCCCUUCAGGAGACGCUCCUGGGAGAGGAGAGACGCUGCGCUGGAAACCCACUGCCUGCCAAACUGCAGAUCCGCGCCUCUCCAGCACCUGUCCGGGAGGAAGCCGAGCACACAGCUGAACACCCCCCUCCGGGAGAGGGCAGUGAAGGACAGAGGCGAGGGAAAACAGACAGGGAUGCUAAACGCAGUUCUAGGACUCCGAAAAGCCAUUCGUGUGGAGGAAGGAAAGUUCGCGGAGCCUCUUCAGGUGUCGAGGAAAAGAGGGACAGACUGCUGCAGAUCUAGCAGUGCGAACACGGCUGUACUGAGAGCGACGGACGGAGUUCAUGCUGUUGCAGCGCUGGGUUCCGCUUCAUUCCAAUGCGUGUGAUUCAUGUGCAGCUAACUGAAUGUACAGUGUCAUCCCCCCCAGAAGAGUGAUGCUGAGAUGGCGGAGUCUCUAGGAUGAGGCAGUGUGGGUGUUGUUACAG